rnacentral:rRNA from 1 species
GAUGAACGCUGGCGGCGUGCCUAAUACAUGCAAGUCGAGCGAACGGACGAGAAGCUUGCUUCUCUGAUGUUAGCGGCGGACGGGUGAGUAACACGUGGAUAACCUACCUAUAAGACUGGGAUAACUUCGGGAAACCGGAGCUAAUACCGGAUAAUAUUUUGAACCGCAUGGUUCAAAAGUAAAAGACGGUCUUGCUGUCACUUAUAGAUGGAUCCGCGCUGCAUUAGCUAGUUGGUAAGGUAACGGCUUACCAAGGCAACGAUGCAUAGCCGACCUGAGAGGGUGAUCGGCCACACUGGAACUGAGACACGGUCCAGACUCCUACGGGAGGCAGCAGUAGGGAAUCUUCCGCAAUGGGCGAAAGCCUGACGGAGCAACGCCGCGUGAGUGAUGAAGGUCUUCGGAUCGUAAAACUCUGUUAUUAGGGAAGAACAUAUGUGUAAGUAACUGUGCACAUCUUGACGGUACCUAAUCAGAAAGCCACGGCUAACUACGUGCCAGCAGCCGCGGUAAUACGUAGGUGGCAAGCGUUAUCCGGAAUUAUUGGGCGUAAAGCGCGCGUAGGCGGUUUUUUAAGUCUGAUGUGAAAGCCCACGGCUCAACCGUGGAGGGUCAUUGGAAACUGGAAAACUUGAGUGCAGAAGAGGAAAGUGGAAUUCCAUGUGUAGCGGUGAAAUGCGCAGAGAUAUGGAGGAACACCGGUGGCGAAGGCGACUUUCUGGUCUGUAACUGACGCUGAUGUGCGAAAGCGUGGGGAUCAAACAGGAUUAGAUACCCUGGUAGUCCACGCCGUAAACGAUGAGUGCUAAGUGUUAGGGGGUUUCCGCCCCUUAGUGCUGCAGCUAACGCAUUAAGCACUCCGCCUGGGGAGUACGACCGCAAGGUUGAAACUCAAAGGAAUUGACGGGGACCCGCACAAGCGGUGGAGCAUGUGGUUUAAUUCGAAGCAACGCGAAGAACCUUACCAAAUCUUGACAUCCUUUGACAACUCUAGAGAUAGAGCUUUCCCCUUCGGGGGACAAAGUGACAGGUGGUGCAUGGUUGUCGUCAGCUCGUGUCGUGAGAUGUUGGGUUAAGUCCCGCAACGAGCGCAACCCUUAAGCUUAGUUGCCAUCAUUAAGUUGGGCACUCUAAGUUGACUGCCGGUGACAAACCGGAGGAAGGUGGGGAUGACGUCAAAUCAUCAUGCCCCUUAUGAUUUGGGCUACACACGUGCUACAAUGGACAAUACAAAGGGCAGCGAAACCGUGAGGUCAAGCAAAUCCCAUAAAGUUGUUCUCAGUUCGGAUUGUAGUCUGCAACUCGACUACAUGAAGCUGGAAUCGCUAGUAAUCGUAGAUCAGCAUGCUACGGUGAAUACGUUCCCGGGUCU